rnacentral:rRNA from 1 species
GACGAACGCUGGCGGCGUGCUUAACACAUGCAAGUCGAACGGAAAGUCCCUGCUUUUGUGGGGUGCUCGAGUGUCGAACGGGUGAUUAACACGUUAGUAACCUGCCCUUGACUUUGGGAUAACUUCAGGAAACUGGGGCUAAUACCGGAUAGGAGCUCCUGCUGCAUGGUGGGGGUUGGAAAGUUUCGGCGGUUGGGGAUGGACUCGCGGCUUAUCAGCUUGUUGGUGGGGUAGUGGCUUACAAAAGCUUUGACGGGUAGACGGCCUGAAAGGGUGACCUGCAAAAUAGGAACAGAAAUACAGGCAAGCGAACAAUGGGAGGGAGCAGAGGAGAAGACUGCACAAUAGGCGGAAGGCGGAUGAAGCAAAGAAACGAGAGGGAAGACAGCAUUCGGGGUGUAUAGCGAUUUAGCCUGUAAAGAAACGAGAGUGACGGUAAUGGGUAAAGAAGCAGCGGCUAACUACAUG